rnacentral:tRNA from 1 species
GGGGAUGUAGCUCAGUUGGUUAGAGCGCCGGCCUGUCACGUCGGAGGUCGCGAGUUCGAGUCUCGUCAUCCCCGCCA